rnacentral:rRNA from 1 species
AUUGUCCUACGGGAGGCAGCAGUGGGGAAUAUUGCACAAUGGGGGAGACCCUGAUGCAGCGACGCCGCGUGAGUGAAGAAGUAUUUCGGUAUGUAAAGCUCUCUCAGCAGGGAAGAUAAUGACGGUACCUGACUAAGAAGCUCCGGCUAAAUACGUGCCAGCAGCCGCGGUAAUACGUAUGGAGCAAGCGUUAUCCGGAUUCACUGGGUGUAAAGGGAGCGCAGACGGCAAGGCAAGUCUGAUGUGAAAGUCCGAGGCUCAACCUCGGGACUGCAUUGGAAACUGUCUGGCUAGAGUGCAGGAGG